UGGUCAGGUAGAGAAUACCAAGGCGCUUGAGAGAACUCGGGUGAAGGAACUAGGCAAAAUGGUGCCGUAACUUCGGGAGAAGGCACGCUGACACGUAGGUGAAGUGAUUUACUCAUGGAGCUGAAGUCAGUCGAAGAUACCAGCUGGCUGCAACUGUUUAUUAAAAACACAGCACUGUGCAAACACGAAAGUGGACGUAUACGGUGUGACGCCUGCCCGGUGCCGGAAGGUUAAUUGAUGGGGUCAGCGCAAGCGAAGCUCCUGAUCGAAGCCCCGGUAAACGGCGGCCGUAACUAUAACGGUCCUAAGGUAGCGAAAUUCCUUGUCGGGUAAGUUCCGACCUGCACGAAUGGCGUAAUGAUGGCCAGGCUGUCUCCACCCGAGACUCAGUGAAAUUGAACUCGCUGUGAAGAUGCAGUGUACCCGCGGCAAGACGGAAAGACCCCGUGAACCUUUACUAUAGCUUGACACUGAACAUUGAGCCUUGAUGUGUAGGAUAGGUGGGAGGCUUUGAAGUGUGGACGCCAGUCUGCAUGGAGCCGACCUUGAAAUACCACCCUUUAAUGUUUGAUGUUCUAACGUGGACCCGUGAUCCGGGUUGCGGACAGUGUCUGGUGGGUAGUUUGACUGGGGCGGUCUCCUCCUAAAGAGUAACGGAGGAGCACGAAGGUUGGCUAAUCCUGGUCGGACAUCAGGAGGUUAGUGCAAUGGCAUAAGCCAGCUUGACUGCGAGCGUGACGGCGCGAGCAGGUGCGAAAGCAGGUCAUAGUGAUCCGGUGGUUCUGAAUGGAAGGGCCAUCGCUCAACGGAUAAAAGGUACUCCGGGGAUAACAGGCUGAUACCGCCCAAGAGUUCAUAUCGACGGCGGUGUUUGGCACCUCGAUGUCGGCUCAUCACAUCCUGGGGCUGAAGUAGGUCCCAAGGGUAUGGCUGUUCGCCAUUUAAAGUGGUACGCGAGCUGGGUUUAGAACGUCGUGAGACAGUUCGGUCCCUAUCUGCCGUGGGCGCUGGAGAACUGAGGGGGGCUGCUCCUAGUACGAGAGGACCGGAGUGGACGCAUCACUGGUGUUCGGGUUGUCAUGCCAAUGGCACUGCCCGGUAGCUAAAUGCGGAAGAGAUAAGUGCUGAAAGCAUCUAAGCACGAAACUUGCCCCGAGAUGAGUUCUCCCUGAGACUUUAGGUCUCCUGAAGGAACGUUGAAGACGACGACGUUGAUAGGCCGGGUGUGUAAGCGCAGCGAUGCGUUGAGCUAACCGGUACUAAUGAACCGUGAGGCUUAACCUUACA
rnacentral:rRNA from 1 species